CCUACGGGACGCUGCAGUGGGGAAUAUUGGACAAUGGGGGCAACCCUGAUCCAGCCAUGCCGCGUGUGUGAAGAAGGCCCUCGGGUUGUAAAGCACUUUCAGUGAGGAAGAACGCCUGGUGGUUAAUACCCAUCAGGAAAGACAUCACUCACAGAAGAAGCACCGGCUAACUCCGUGCCAGCAGCCGCGGUAAUACGGAGGGUGCGAGCGUUAAUCGGAAUUACUGGGCGUAAAGCGCGCGUAGGUGGCUUGAUAAGCCGGUUGUGAAAGCCCCGGGCUCAACCUGGGAACGGCAUCCGGAACUGUCAAGCUAGAGUGCAGGAGAGGAAGGUAGAAUUCCCGGUGUAGCGGUGAAAUGCGUAGAGAUCGGGAGGAAUACCAGUGGCGAAGGCGGCCUUCUGGACUGACACUGACACUGAGGUGCGAAAGCGUGGGUAGCAAACAGGAUUAGAUACCCUUGUAGUC
rnacentral:rRNA from 1 species